AGUUAACGUUGGCGGCGUGCCUAACACAUGCAAGUCGAACGCGCCGUAGCAAUACGGUGAGUGGCGAACGGGUGAGUAACACGUGGGUAAUCUUCCUUCAAGUGGGGAAUAAGCUCUCGAAAGGGAGUCUAAUACCGCAUGAAGCUUCGCGACACAAGUCGUCGAAGCCAAAGCCGUAAGGCGCUUGGGGAUGAGCCUGCGUCCUAUUAGCUAGUUGGUAGGGUAAUGGCCUACCAAGGCGAUGAUGGGUAGCCGGCCUGAGAGGGUGAACGGCCACACUGGGACUGAGACACGGCCCAGACUCCUACGGGAGGCAG
rnacentral:rRNA from 1 species